rnacentral:rRNA from 1 species
AGAGUUUGAUCAUGGCUCAGAGUGAACGCUGGCGGCAGGCCUAAUACAUGCAAGUCGAACGGCAGCACAGCAGAGCUUGCUCUGUGGGUGGCGAGUGGCGGACGGGUGAGGAAUACGUGGGAAUCUGCCCAGUCGUGGGGGAUAACGUAGGGAAACUUACGCUAAUACCGCAUGCGCCCUUCGGGGAAAGCCGGGACCUUCGGGCCUGGCGCGAUUGGAUGAGCCCACGUCGGAUUAGCUAGUUGGCGGGGUAAAGGCCCACCAAGGCGACGAUCCGUAGCUGGUCUGAGAGGAUGAUCAGCCACACUGGAACUGAGACACGGUCCAGACUCCUACGGGAGGCAGCAGUAGGGAAUAUUGGACAAUGGGCGCAAGCCUGAUCCAGCCAUGCCGCGUGAGUGAAGAAGGCCCUCGGGUUGUAAAGCUCUUUUGUCCGGAAAGAAAAGCGCCGGGUUAAUACCCUGGUGUCCUGACGGUACCGGAAGAAUAAGCACCGGCUAACUUCGUG